UAAUGUUACUAACUUAGGGCAUUCUUGUCAACAUCUUGUAAAUACUACUGCUUCUAUGUUUUUUGUGUGUGUCACUACAGAUUUUUGGUACUUUCAAUUUGGAUGAUAAUACACUAAGAUGCUUGUUCGUAACUUCACUUUUUUUCCUCUUCUUUUAUAUCAAGUGACCCUCUCUGGUAAUCAACAACCUGUUCGAACUGAGAUUACUGAAGCUGCAAUGGAACUAGGAGCUGAAAAACUCUCGCUUUUAGUUACCGAGGCAUACAAAGAUGCACACCAGAAGAGCGUGCAGGUGAGACUCAAGUGAGGCUUUGCUCGAGGAUUGAAUUUUCAAGGGACUCAUCUUUUGCAUGAAUGAGUUGUGUAACCUCCUUGUAUACAUUAGACGCAAGCAAUGAGUUAUUCCAAUUCUUUUGAAAUUUUACCUAAUCAGAGAAUUGAACCUAGCCUAUCAUUAUAGAGUAAUAUAUGUUUGAUUUGACCAAUAUUAUACAACUGAUCACUACAUUGCAAGUCCUGAAGUUAUCACA